rnacentral:rRNA from 1 species
UGGGGAUGACGUCAAGUCAGCAUGGCCUUUAUAUCCUGGGCUACACACACGCUACAAUGGUCGGUACAAUAGGUUGCCAAGCCGCGAGGCGGAGCCAAUCCAAAAAAGCCGGCCUCAGUUCAGAUUGUAGGCUGCAACUCGCCUGCAUGAAGAUGGAGUUGCUAGUAACCGCAGAUCAGCAAUACUGCGGUGAAUACGUUCCCGGGUCUU